GGGAUGACAGAGGAUGAGAUGGCUGGAUGGCAUCACUGACUCAAUGGAUCUUGCAUGGGAACAUGCAUUCUUGAGAAUCAAGCAACGACGUUAUAAGGCAUCUAUACGAGGGUGUUCAUUUGGCCAAGGGAACAUGAUCAUGCUUGUAUCAUGACUGUAUCACAUGAACUUUGGAAGGACCACUUCUCAGCUUAUAACAACAGAGAGUCUAUUUUUAAAGAUCAGUGUGAAACAACUAGGAUAUUGAGAACUGGAGACAAGUUAAGCAGCAUCUUGAGAUGUGCCGUCAGAAACCUGAAACUGUCUUCCUGACUGCAGACAGGAAGAUGUUUUGAAGCCAAUCAAGGAGCUGUGGCAUUAUGUACACUGAUUGCAGCUGGGGAGGAUGCCAGAUUGAACAUCUGCUUCUGAUCGAAGUUGAAAACGGCAGUUGAUGGAUCCUGUUGGGGCCAACAACUCCUUUUCUCAAUUUGAAGUUCACUAAGCAACUCUUCCCCACCCCCCCCC
ensembl:lncRNA